AAGCGGAGGAAAAGAACCAACAGGGAUUGCCUCAGUAACGGCGAGUGAAGCGGCAAAAGCUCAAAUUUGAAAUCUAGUCUCCUCUGGGGGCUCGAGUUGUAAUUUGCAGAGGAAACUUUGGGGAAAUCUUU
rnacentral:rRNA from 1 species